AACUAGAGAAUACCCUGAACAAGGCGGAUCCCGUCUGAUCUUGGAAGCUAAGCAGGGUCAGGCCUGAUUAGUACUUGGGUGGGAGACCACCUAGGAAGACCAGGUGCUGUAGGCA
rnacentral:rRNA from 1 species